AUUGAACGCUGGCGGCAGGCCUAACACAUGCAAGUCGAACGCGAAAGUCCUCGGAUGAGUAGAGUGGCGGACGGGUGAGUAACGCGUAGGAAUCUAUCCUGUAGUGGGGAUAACGUUUCGAAAGGAACGCUAAUACCGCAUACGCCCCAAGGGGGAAAGCGGGGAUCUUCGGACCUCGUGCUAUAGGAGGAGCCUGCGUCGGAUUAGCUAGUUGGUGAGGUAAAGGCUCACCAAGGCGACGAUCCGUAGCUGGUCUGAGAGGAUGAUCAGCCACACCGGAACUGAGACACGGUCCGGACUCCUACGGGAGGCAGCAGUGGGGAAUAUUGCGCAAUGGGCGAAAGCCUGACGCAGCCAUACCGCGUGUGUGAAGAAGGCCUUCGGUUGUAAGUA
rnacentral:rRNA from 1 species